rnacentral:rRNA from 1 species
GACGAACGCUGGCGGCGUGCCUAAUACAUGCAAGUCGAACGCUUCUUUCCUCCCGAGUGCUUGCACUCAAUUGGAAAGAGGAGUGGCGGACGGGUGAGUAACACGUGGGUAACCUACCCAUCAGAGGGGGAUAACACUUGGAAACAGGUGCUAAUACCGCAUAACAGUUUAUGCCGCAUGGCAUAAGAGUGAAAGGCGCUUUCGGGUGUCGUUGAUGGAUGGGCCCGCGGUGCAUUAGCUAGUUGGUGAGGUAACGGCUCACCAAGGCCACGAUGCAUAGCCGACCUGAGAGGGUGAUCGGCCACACUGGGACUGAGACACGGCCCAGACUCCUACGGGAGGCAGCAGUAGGGAAUCUUCGGCAAUGGACGAAAGUCUGACCGAGCAACGCCGCGUGAGUGAAGAAGGUUUUCGGAUCGUAAAACUCUGUUGUUAGAGAAGAACAAGGACGUUAGUAACUGAACGUCCCCUGACGGUAUCUAACCAGAAAGCCACGGCUAACUACGUG